rnacentral:rRNA from 1 species
UACGUAGGGCGCAAGCGUUAUCCGGAAUUAUUGGGCGUAAAGAGCUCGUAGGCGGUUUGUCGCGUCUGCUGUGAAAACCCGAGGCUCAACCUCGGGCCUGCAGUGGGUACGGGCAGACUAGAGUGCGGUAGGGGGAGAUUGGAAUUCCUGGUGUAGCGGUGGAAUGCGCAGAUAUCAGGAGGAACACCAAUGGCGAAGGCGCCACUCUGGGCCGAAACUGACGCGUG